ensembl:snoRNA
UGUAAUGAUGAUUCAAUAGACUAGAGUCUCUGAGAACUUGAUGUGGUUCACAAAACACUGAACA